AUUGAACGCUGGCGGCAUGCUUUACACAUGCAAGUCGAACGGCAGCGGGGGCUUCGGCCUGCCGGCGAGUGGCGAACGGGUGAGUAAUGCAUCGGAACGUGCCCAUGUCGUGGGGGAUAACGUAGCGAAAGCUACGCUAAUACCGCAUACGUCCUGAGGGAGAAAGCGGGGGAUCUUCGGACCUCGCGCGAUUGGAGCGGCCGAUGUCGGAUUAGCUAGUAGGUGAGGUAAAGGCUCACCUAGGCGACGAUCCGUAGCGGGUCUGAGAGGAUGAUCCGCCACACUGGGACUGAGACACGGCCCAGACUCCUACGGGAGGCAGCAGUGGGGAAUUUUGGACAAUGGGCGCAAGCCUGAUCCAGCCAUGCCGCGUGAGUGAAGAAGGCCUUCGGGUUGUAAAGCUCUUUCGGCCGGGAAGAAAUCGUGUUCUCUAACAUAGGACAUGGAUGACGGUACCGGACUAAGAAGCACCGGCUAACUACGUGCCAGCCGCCGCCGUAAAAC
rnacentral:rRNA from 1 species